rnacentral:SRP_RNA from 13 species
CGAGCUGUGCGACGAGGAGACGCGGGCGGCGCUGAGGGAGGCGGUGGCGAGGGCGUGCGGACCCGGGCCGUUAAGGGGGGGGGGAAUGGUCGAGGUU